AGGGGAUUAGCUUAGCUGGCCGAAAGCAACGGACUUUGAAUCCGUGACCACAGGUUCGAAUCCUGUAUCCCCCG
rnacentral:tRNA from 1 species